UCUUGGUCAUUUAGAGGAAGUAAAAGUCGUAACAAGGUCUCCGUUGGUGAACCAGCGGAGGGAUCAUUACCGAGUUUUCAACUCCCAAACCCAUAUGUGAACCUACCUAUCGUUGCUUCGGCGGACCACCCCAACCCCUUCGGGGCGCGGGGCCCGCCAGAGGACACCCAAAAUUCAAAUGUAUUUUGCCUUUACAAAUUUAUUCUGAGUGGAAUUUUUAAAUAAAUCAAAACUUUCAACAACGGAUCUCUUGGUUCUGGCAUCGAUGAAGAACGCAGCCCCCCCGUGCCCCCGCCCCGCCCGCCGGCGCGGCGGGCG
rnacentral:rRNA from 1 species